ACGGAAGGCAGCAGUGGGGAAUAUUGCACAAUGGGGGAAACCCUGAUGCAGCGACGCCGCGUGAAGGAAGAAGUAUCUCGGUAUGUAAACUUCUAUCAGCAGGGAAGAAAAUGACGGUACCUGACUAAGAAGCCCCGGCUAACUACGUGCCAGCAGCCGCGGUAAUACGUAGGGGGCAAGCGUUAUCCGGAUUUACUGGGUGUAAAGGGAGCGUAGACGGAAUUGCAAGUCUGAUGUGAAAGGCAUGGGCUCAACCCGUGGACUGCAUUGGAAACUGUAAUUCUUGAGUGCCGGAGGGGUAAGCGGAAUUCCUGGUGUAGCGGUGAAAUGUGUAGAUAUCAGGAGGAACACCGGUGGCGAAGGCGGCUUACUGGACGGCAACUGACGUUGAGGCUCGAAGGCGUGGGGAGCAAACAGGAUUAGAUACCCUGGUA
rnacentral:rRNA from 1 species